rnacentral:rRNA from 1 species
UACGAAGGGGGCUAGCGUUGUUCGGAAUUACUGGGCGUAAAGGGCGCGUAGGCGGGAUGGCAAGUCGGUCGUGAAAUCCCUCGGCUCAACCGAGGAACGUCGAUCGAUACUGCUGUUCUUGAGGAUUGCAGAGGAGACUGGAAUUCCCGGUGUAGCGGUGAAAUGUGUAGAGAUCGGGAGGAACACCGGUGGCGAAGGCGGGUCUCUGGACAGUUCCUGACACUGAGACACGAAGGCCAGGGGAGCAAACGGG